AAGAAAAAACCACCGAGUUAUAUUUUCAAUCCAAGAGGGAGAAAAAAAAAAAAAAAACGUCGUUGUUUCAAAGCAAAAACCAGAUUCUCUUUUCUUCUCUUACGAGAAGAAGAAAACAAUGGCGCUAACUCACUCUUCUUCUUCUUCUUCUUAUCUAAAUCUUCUCCAAUUCUCUGUUAAAUCUUCUUCCCCGUCCGUACAUUAUAUUAUAUUCGGAUCUCCAUGGCAAAACGCUUCUCCUAUCUUGCUUCAAAAGACCGGAGUUCCUUUACUUCCGGUCGUAGUGAGACCGUCUUUUAAGAAGAUCAAGUGCUUCGCUAGAUCAUCCACGGAAGAAGAUCGUUUGAACGAGCCGGAAAGAUUGGCCGCUGAGAAUGUCGGUGAUGAUGACGAUGAUGGAGGGAGGGAAGAUCCGACACUGCAGCAACACCAGCGUUCUGUGGUUGCGACGCAGGGGAUCACCUCGUCUUCCAGUGAUUCUCUCACGCUUGGAAUUCGUGAGCCUGUCUAUGAGGUGGUAGAGGUGAAGGCAAGUGGAGUAGUAUCUACAAGGAAGAUAAACCGACGUCAGUUAUUGAAAUCUAGUGGCCUUCGUCCAAGAGAUAUCCGGAGUGUUGAUCCAUCAUUGUUUUUGACAAACUCAGCACCAUCUCUUCUGGUACGUGAGCAUGCCAUUCUACUUAAUCUGGGAUCAUUACGAGCAAUAGCAAUGAAAGAAUGUGUUCUUAUAUUUGACCAUAAUUGUAAAGGUGGAAAGGCUUUUAUGGACACAUUGUUGCCUCGACUGAAUGAUAUGAAUGGAGGGCCUUGUAUGCCAUUUGAGCUUGAGGUUGUUGAAGCAGCAUUACUUUCAUGGAUACAGCGCUUAGAGCAGAGACUAAUGGAUUUAGAACCUCGUGUACAAGCUCUGCUCGAAGAGUUGCCUAACAAAUUAACCGGUGACAUAUUGGAGCAACUUCGUAUAAGCAAACAGACCUUGGUUGAAUUGGGUUCAAGAGCAGGGGCUCUUAGACAAAUGCUGCUUGAUCUUUUGGAGGAUCCCCAUGAAAUACGUCGUAUAUGUAUUAUGGGAAGAAACUGUACUCUUAAAAAGGGAAAUGAUGACGUGGAAUGUUCUGUACCCUUGGAAAAGUUGAUCGCUGAAGAAGAGGAGGAAGAGAUUGAGAUGCUUUUGGAAAAUUAUCUUCAAAGAUGUGAAUCUUGCCAUGGUCAGGCAGAAAGGCUUCUUGAUUCUGCAAAAGAGAUGGAAGAUUCUAUUGCUGUCAACCUAAGCGCUAGAAGGCUUGAGGUAAGCAGAGUGGAAUUACUUCUUCAGGUUGGAGCAUUUUGUGUUGCAGUUGGUGCUCUAGUUGCAGGUAUAUUUGGCAUGAACUUGAGGUCCUAUCUGGAAGAACAUGUGUUUGCCUUCUGGCUAACCACAGCAGGGAUUUUUGUUGGUGCUGUUGUGGCGUUUUUUCUCAUGCAUUCAUAUCUCAGGACUAGGAAAAUACUUUAAUUUAGGAGUUAGGUGAAUUCGAAAGCAAAGAUUCCUGUCUCCAAAGUGCAUGAUGUGCUGUGAUUGUUAUAAUUAUAGUGGUAGGUAAUCUUUAGAAGAAUGAUUGUUUAGGCGGAUUGCAAAAGUUGUAGUUCUUUGAAGCUGCAGAUAGCAACGGUUGAUCAACUUGCAAUGCCUUUUCAGCAUGUAAAACAAGGACAUGAGAGCAAUAUUCCAGGCUCUACCAUUUCCUGGGCUAAAGACGUUUUACAAUUCUCUUACGAACGGCGAAGAACGUUCUCUUUUUUCCUACUCUUACUCUGUAUUACUACCAUUGUGGGACACUAUAACUCAACUUUCCACUAGCCACAGUUCAUUCUAUCAUUCAUGGAUUUCUCUCUUUUUCUUGUUGUUUGGGAGGAGAAAAAGAAAAAUGAAAAAU